rnacentral:rRNA from 1 species
AUGGCGGCCCCCGCUGCUGAAGCCCCGGCGCCCGUUCUCCCUCCUGCCAGAAGGAAGGAUGCGGAUCCGGCUCGUCUCCAAACCUCGCCGCUCCUUCCCGCCGCAGGCUGGUCGGACCUUCCGCCCGAUCUCGUCCGCCGCGUCGCCGACUCCCUCCUCGCCGCCAACGACCUCGACUGCUACAUGGACUUCCGCGCCGUCUGCUCCGGCUGGCGCGCCGCCACCGACGACCCCAGGAGCGACCCCUUCGACCCCCGCUUUCGCCCGCGCCGGUGGGUCAUCCUGGACGACGGCGACGACCUGCUGCUGCUGAAUGCCGCCACGGGGCGCUUCCUCCGCAAGAGGAUCCCGCUGCUCCGCCGCUACCACGUCCUCGCCGCCACUCCCGGCGGCUUCUUCGUCCUGGCGGACAGGUACCCUUCUCGAGCCGCCUGCGUCUUCAAUCCUCUCACCGUCGUCCUGAUCCGGUUCGCGGCACCUGUACCCACCAAGAAGGUCGCCGCCGCCACUGUCGUCUUCGGUCGCAGCUCUUGGCCCACGCUCACGCUCAACUUGCUCUGCAACUCUCCUUCCAAAAGUUACUCGGCCACUCCUGACAUGGAAAGUUUCCAAGAAAAGGAGGUGCAGUUGCCCAUUGAUUGUCAUAUCUCAUUGAAGGCAGUCAGAGGCGGUGUCUACGCCGACGGUGGUGGCGCUGCGCAGGGAUUCAGGCACGGGGUUUCUGUUAUAUUCGAGAUCUUCGAUUUGAUACAGUCACUUCAUGUCCAUCCAUCAAUGUUUUAUGCCGAGGAUCUUCCUAUGGCCGGACACGCAAACGACCACACCCGGUUUUUCAUCGUGGAAUUCGGUGGAGAAGUGCUGAUCGUCAUCAAGCUGCAGCCAUGCGUCAAGGUUUUCAAGAUGGACAUCGGUAGCAUUGUGCCUGUGGAGAGCAUCGGCAGCCAUGCCAUCUUCAUCGGUCAUCACAGGUGCCUGGCUGUUGACACCGAUAAGUUUCCAUCUGUUGAGUCCAACUGUGUCUACUACGUUGAGCGCCUGGGUUCGUCUGCGUACAUCUGCAUGUACAAUCUCAAGGACGAGAAAGACGAGAGGAUCUCAGCUGGCGCUGUAGAUUUCGUGAAGCUGCACGAGUUGUUCAUCCUCGCCGCCCACCGCCCUUUCACCAUCAUCCAACUUCUCUCCAGCUACAGCAUCAAUGCCCGGGAUUCUUAA